rnacentral:rRNA from 1 species
CCUACGGGAGACAGCAGUGAGGAAUAUUGGUCAAUGGACGAGAGUCUGAACCAGCCAAGUCGCGUGAAGGAUGACUGCCCUAUGGGUUGUAAACUUCUUUUAUCUGGGAAUAAAAUGUUCCACGUGUGGGGUUUUGUAUGUACCCUAUGAAUAAGGAUCGGCUAACUCCGUGCCAGCAGCCGCGGUAAUACGGAGGGUCCGAGCGUUAUCCGGAUUUAUUGGGUUUAAAGGGAGCGUAGGUGGAUUGGUAAGGCAGGUGUGAAAGUUUGCGGCUCAACCGUAAAACUGCAGUUGAAACUGGCAGUCUUGAGUACAGGAGAGGUGGGCGGAAUGCGUGGUGUAGCGGUGAAAUGCAUAGAUAUCACGCAGAACUCUGAUUGCGAAGGCAGCUCACUGGACUGCAACUGACACUGAGGCUCGAAAGUGUGGGUAUCAAACAGGAUUAGAUACCCUUGUAGUC